rnacentral:rRNA from 1 species
UGGGGAAUUUUGGACAAUGGGCGAAAGCCUGAUCCAGCAAUGCCGCGUGUGUGAAGAAGGCCUUCGGGUUGUAAAGCACUUUUGUCCGGAAAGAAAUCCUUGGCUCUAAUACAGUCGGGGGAUGACGGUACCGGAAGAAUAAGCACCGGCUAACUACGUGCCAGCAGCCGCGGUAAUACGUAGGGUGUAAGCGUUAAUCGGAAUUACUGGGCGUAAAGCGUGCGCAGGCGGUUUGCUAAGACCGAUGUGAAAAUCCCCGGGCUCAACCUGGGAACUGCAUUGGUGACUGGCAGGCUAGAGUAUGGCAGAGGGGGGUAGAAUUCCACGUGUAGCAGUGAAAAUGCGUAGAGAUGUGGAGGAAUACCGAUGGCGAAGGCAGCCCCCUGGGCCAAAUACUGACGCUCAUGCACGAAAGCGGUGGGGAGCAAACAGGAUUAGAUACCCUGGUAGUCCACGCCCUAAACGAUGUCAACUAGUUGUUGGGGAUUCAUUUCCUUAGUAACGUAGCUAACGCGUGAAGUUGACCGCCAUGGGGAGUACGGUCGCAAAGAUUAAAACUUAAAUGAAUUGACGGGGUC